CGUAAACUUUAGGGGUGCCAAUUUGGUUUGGCUGAGAAAUUACCCUUUGAACCUGAUUCAGGCUAGUACCUGCGAAGGAAAAAGUUCGAAAAUUCCA
rnacentral:ncRNA from 2 species